ensembl:antisense Gm26676 predicted gene, 26676
AGCCCACAACUUUCCAGAGGACCCUGGAAGAUGAGAGGGGUCCGGGACUCCGGUGCUCGCGGAGGAAACUGCCUGCAUCUCACAGAUAUUUGCACCGCACCAGGCCUUUUUAUGCUUCAUGCAUCUUUGACAUCUCCAUGAUGGCCGAGGUCUGCUCUGCUCAGAACAAAGCUCCCAGGUAAUUUUGCUGCACAGCUGGAGUUGAGAAUCACCAAUCAAGGAAGAUGGAAACCCACAGUGCCCGAUUUUUCAGCCAGCCUUGGUUUCUAAGUCAGAGGAACUGUUUGGUACCCAUAGAAAUUAUUCAGAUGCUCUGGGAGCUUUCUAGGUUUCUAUGCCAACUGUUUGGCAUACACAUUUUUUUUCUCCACUGGGCUCACUUGUCCUAGAGUAUUCUCUAUAAAAAAAAAUGGGGGGGGGCCUAUUACUGACAUUAAAGACUUUGACUGCAAGGAGACUUCUGCUGUUUUUCCAGAGGACUCCCCUCUCCCUCCAAUCUACUGUUUGCAGUGCUCCUUUGCUUCCUGGAACGGAAGAGGUUCAGCAGAGGCACUCAGAGCUAUGUGCAGGGAAGUCACCCCCUAUCUACCCUGAUCCCAGCUCAGAGAAGCCACCCCACAUCUACCUCCGUUCGAUGCUCAGGGGGUCUCAUCUUGUCCAUGUCCUGCACCUAGUUCAGAGAUCUCACUCUGUCCACCCCAUGCUUCCAACCCAAUGGUGUCCUUGAAAAACACCGCCUGCACUACCGACACCAGCACUUUCACCGGAAGAACACACCGCACCAGGGCUCGCCCUUCCCUAAAGCUCCCGCCAACCUCCAAGAAGACGGACCCAAAGGCUUUGCUGUUAUCUCCCAUACCAGGAACCUGCUUGGAGCCAAGGCAGCCAGCUUAAGACUGUCUGUCAAAGCAUUCAUUGGAGGAUGUAGCUGUUGUUGCCUGAGGCAAUGGAUGGCAGUUGGCUGGAGAAGCGCUUCAGAGGGCAGGAGGUGCUUGGGGGGGGGGGUAAGGAACUGGAACAUGCUUUGGGAUUGGGGGGUGCAGGCUGGGCUGUGUGUUAAUUCAGUAAAUAUCCAAGAAGCCUCCAAGGCUGUCCCCAGCUGACCUUCAGGUCUAAAGGCAGGUGAGCAGAAGCGCUAUCUAGGCUGCCUGGCUGAGGGCUGGCAAGGCCCCAGCUCACACAGCUCAUCUGCAAAGACUGGGUUUGCUUUUCUUUCUGUGACUCUAAUGGAGCAGAGCCAUUAUGGCCACAUAAGGAUGGGCACACAGCCUUUACAAAGUUUACAAAAUUGAUCCUUUAAACCGUGAGUUGUGCCUAUGAGCUGUGCAAACAAACACCAGUAAGUACGACCAUUCACUGGUUGGGGGGGGGGCACUCUGAUUUCCAUAACUGUUGCUUAUGCUGUUUAAAAUGUCCGGUUUCAACAACAAGAAUUACGAAGAAUAUGAAGUAUGAGAAAGAAUAGCCUACACGCGGGAAAAGAACAACGAAAACGAACUGUCCCUAAGGGAGCCUGUACAUCAGCUUCACCAGAAAAAGACUAAAUAAACUAAAUGGAAUACGUUCAAGGAAUAUCCUGAGGUAAUGAUGCAUAGCUGUAACCCCAGCACUUGGGAAACUGAGGCAAAGAGGAUAGUCAUGAGUUUGAGGCUAGCCCGGGCUACAGAGUAAGUUCCAGGUUGCAAUGAGAGAUCCUGUCUCAAACACAAAAAACGAACAAACAAAAAAGCUAAAGGAAGCCAGCCAUUUCCGAAGGCUGACCUAAACGAUUAUGAGAAUGUCUCUGUAAGAAGUAUCGAUGAGACAGAAGUCAUAAAAAGGAAGCAAGAGGAUACUGGAGUUGAACAGUGUGGGUCACAAGAUGAACAUUUGCACGACUGAGAAGGCCUCAGAGGCACGGGAUGAAAGCAAGCCUCACGAAAGGGCCCCCUUUAGGCAUAGACAGGAAUCCCAAAAUCUGAGAGUCAGCUCUCUUAUAGGAUGCGGCCCUUGAGAGAUUACUCAUGAUCCAUGAUGGCCACCUCGUGUACAUGCAGGCAGUACUAAGUGGCAUGCUGGGACACGUAAAAAAAGCCAAGAGAAGAACACACGGAACUGAGGAGGAAAUAGCGGUGGUGAGGAGAGAGGAGACAUCGGGGGCCAGAUAAUGGGAGGCAGACUUGAUGAAGACAUAUUAUGUGUGUGUAUGAAAUUCCCAAACAAUAAAAAUAUCCCCAUGUUUGAUGG